GAAGCGGCAACAGCUCAAAUUUGAAAUCUGGCGCAAGCCCGAGUUGUAAUUUGCAGAGGAUGCUUUUGGUGCGGUGCCUUCUGAGUUCCCUGGAACGGGACGCCGGAGAGGGUGAGAGCCCCGUACAGUUGGACACCAAGCCUUUGUAAAGCUCCUUCGACGAGUCGAGUAGUUUGGGAAUGCUGCUCAAAAUGGGAGGUAAAUGCCUUCUAAAGCUAAAUACCGGCCAGAGACCGAUAGCGCACAAGUAGAGUGAUCGAAAGAUGAAAAGCACUUUGAAAAGAGGGUUAAAAAGUACGUGAAAUUGUUGAAAGGGAAGGGCUCGUGACCAGACUUGCGCCCGUCGGAUCAUCCGGCCUUCUGGCCGGUGCACUCCGGCGGGCUCAGGCCAGCAUCGGUUCUUCUGGGGGGACAAAAGCGGCGGGAACGUAGCUCCUCCGGGAGUGUUAUAGCCCGCCGCAGAAUACCCCCGGGGGGACCGAGGACCGCGCUUCGGCAAGGAUGCUGGCGUAAUGGUCACCAGCCA
rnacentral:rRNA from 1 species